AAGUCGUAACAAGGUUUCCGUAGGUGAACCUGCGGAAGGAUCAUUACAAAUAAUGGCGAACCUCGCGUUUCGCGAGGCUUUGCGUCCAUUUUUUUUUCGUAUUUAAAACAUCCCACUCUUUUAAAAAAAAAAUUAUCUAAUGAUAAAAAAAAAAGAUCACUUUCAACAACGGAUCUCUUGGUUCUC
rnacentral:misc_RNA from 1 species